GUUUGGUGCUGCGCUGGUCAUGUACUGUCGGUCUAUCGGGGCCAAACUAUCAAGCAUGAAUAUAAUGAAUAGACUCUUUAUAAAUUAUUCUGAGUCUAUAAUAGGCCUGAACGAUAUAUCGUUUGACUAUCGUCAUCGCGAUGUACGUGUGUGCGAUAGUCACAUCGCAGAGCCUGCGAUAUUGGAGGUGAAUGAACUCAUUUAAUUUCAAGGGUAACCGACUGAGAUACACUCCAUGUGACUCUGCAUGUGCUGUGCAGCGAUCCACCAAUCGCCUUCGUCCUUAACUCAGUUGCCAAUCAGACUCACUUCUCAGUUGCCAAUCAGACUACCCUGCCAGCUGUCAAUCAAAAUGAGGGAGGAGAAAACCCACCCCUGCACAUGUUCUGCACAUGGAGGGAGACGUGUGUCCGCUGAGAAUUACUUUCGGAACUUUACUCAUGACUAUUAAGCCCAACAAAUAAGAACUGUAUGGGUUUUAAAUUGUACAUUUCCGUGGACCACUCUACUAUAAGCAGUGCGCGUUUUGCGAGGUGCAUGCAAUUCUCGGAGGACAUGCGUUUCUCGGCACAACACCGCUAACAACAACAACAACGAUCGCAAAAUGAACAACGAACAAGCGAAAACCACCGAAAAUGAAGAUUUGUUGCCAAAAAGAAAAGGAAAGUCAAUUAUCUGGAAUUAUUUCGGUUAAAAGAAGGAUGAUGUCGACCAAAACAGGUCUUCUGUGUUCACCUGUUGCCACAAUAACGUCCCAGCACAAUAAAAGCUAAAAAUAUCUCUGAGACAGACAGAAGCCGUUCUACUAACAUUCACAAAAAGAGGUAAGAUCAGAGCAGAUUAACUGUCCUCAAGAUUUCAGCAGUGCAGCAUAACAUUAAGUGCUAUUCAGGUCAUCUGGUGAAAAUACUGUAUUUUUAAUAUCGCAAUAUAUAUCGCAGGGUUGAAAAAAUCGCAAUAUUAUUUUUUUCCAAUAUCGUGCAGCCUUAGUCUAGAAUUGUUUUGUAUCAAAGCUCUAUCAUCUCUAUAGGCUAUCCAUAAAUCCACAACGGUGUUCUGUCUGUGUACCAGAGUGUGAUUGUACCAUCACGUAAACAGCUAGCAGGGGCAUAAAAGUUGAACCCUGAGGUUGAGGUGACAGUCAAUUAAAAUCUUUUUAGCAAUUUUGGGAUGCAACAGACGGCAAAAUAAUCAGUAUAACUGAGAUAGAAAAAGUUUGUUCACUGUCCCAGUGGCCGUUUGAGCUUUUAUGAUUAAUAGGAUUAAAUCUGAUAAAAAAAAUAUUGAUUUCAAGGUCUUUUAAACUGGGCUUUUAAAUGCAGCUUCAUUCUUAUUAAAGGUUGUAAUGAGGACGUUGGUACUGCUUUCAGGCUGAAAAACUGCUGCAUAUCACCAUCAGAUGACCAUUCAAUACAGUACAUGGAUCAUUUCUGACUAAUGAAAGGUUUAGUUUUGUUCUUCUACCUGCAGAAAAAAUAAAUAAAUAAAUGAAAAUUGCAUAGACGGAUUGUCUGAAAAUGUCAUGUCCAUUUGAAGUCGAUAGUUCCAAUAUGAAUUGAUAUGACAUUUUCCCUGAAAACUAAAAACCGCAGUGUGUGAUUUCAAACUGUAGGAAACAGAAUUUCUUCGUGAAAUAAACGGGGACAAACUCUGAGGAAAAACACACUUUAAAUAGGUCAGAGAAAAAACUCCAGUCUCUGACUCCCAAAAACUACUUUUCUUGCUAAAACAUACACGGAAAGAGUUUAUCAGGGGGUGACAAAAACAUGAAACCAAACAGAUCAUCCAAAGAAAUCUUCCCUUUCAUAACUAAGGCAGGUUUGAUGUUACUUUACAAUGAGCUUAUACAACAGUUUCCAUCGUGUCUUACCUAAAGUUGAGCGCUGUUUUCAGUCAAUGCUUUGUCACUGCUCCGGUCAGGGCGCACACCCUUUGGCGCCUGUUUUGCUGUAUCUUUGCGUCUUCUUUAAAUAGUUUCUAAUCCUCCUUGUGAUACAAAACCUUUUGCAUGUCUCCAGUCAGCUUAUAAAACCAACAACAGUCAGGACUAGGCUUCAUCAAUUAUUUAAAAAGCAUGGUUGGAAGAUUUUCCUCAUUUUAAAAGGGGAAAAAACUUUUUCUUUUUUUUUUUGUGCCUGUAGCCUGAGAAGCUCUAUUGUGCUCUGACUAAACAAGAACAAACUUAAACGACUGUACCGAAUUCACGUCAUUUCAUAAUCAUAACCCAAAAUUGACUCAGCACAAUGUUAAUCUCCCAGGACAUUUUUUUGCAAUCUUUAGGAUAAAAGUCCUAACAAUAGACCUGCAAUUUUUGGUCUCAUAAGGUCUGGGUAUUUAAGAGGAUAUCAAAAUGUCACAUUUUUAUUAUUCUGAAUUCAUUUCAGGCAUGAAUCAGUCAGAAACUCUCAAACUCUACGAGCACAAAGACAGCAACGGUGGCAUCAGGACAAAAAUACCAGGAGUAUGUUUAGUUUUCAAAAGCCUUCAGAGUUUUCUGCUCUCCAAACAACCGACAAUGAUUGAUAUCUGUUCUCAGUGCCAAGCAGCCUGGCCGGCCUGCUGCCUGAGGCUGACCUCUAUUCUGCUUUUCAUCAGUCUAACACUCUCAGUGUGACAGACACAGAAACACACAUACUGCCAACGCUGUCGCUGCACACGCUCUCAAAGCACACACUACAGCUUCAUUAUGCUCCAAACAUUACCAAUCAGAGCAUAAAAUACACAAGCUUGCUAUCAAAUUCAAAUGUUUGUAUUUUCUAGCACUAUUCUGAGAGACGUACAACAAAAAGUUGACAACUUGUGAUGGUUUUUCAUGCAGUCUGAUCUAUGAUCAUUAUCUGAAAGCCCUCAAAAAUGAAAAAAGAGAAUCUGUCAGUGUCUGAAUCAGUAGUUUGUAUAAUUAAGGCUUCUUUAACAGCAGUGUUUCUUUAAUUUGCUGUAUUUAUCUAUUUAUUUUUCCAAAUGUGUCAUAUAUUCCUUGAUAAGAUGUAUCACCAAGGCAGCAAAACUGGAUGAACAAAGUAAGGGGACCUACAUCAUAUUAAUAGGUCGUUUAAUACAUACGCAAUGUGACACUAGCUGCGUUUACAUGGGCACAAAUAAUUCGAAUAAAUGCCCGAUCGGAAUAAAAAUGCGUCAUGUAAACAUGUCGAUCGGAAGAUUCUGAUCUGAUACGGCUCAAUCAGAAAGAAAUUGUAUUCCGAUCAAGAGGGGUGGUUUAUGCCGAUUGUCAUUCCGAAACACGUCCAUGUAAACACUUAUUCCAAUCAUGACUCUCUUACCUGACUCGAUCUUCACUCUUUAGCCUUUGGUUUAUUUAUUGAGGCCAGUACAGGAGGUUUCAUUAUUAACACUCUGGCAUAAAACACAAACACAGGCGCCGUGUCUGCUCCUCCAAUAACAUAAUAAGGCGUACAUACAGCGUUAAUGAUGUCACAUCUGCAAGCACAGUGCAACCUUUGACAGAACAGUAAAAUAAGUACACAAGGGCGCCAUCUAGUGACAACAUUUAACUGGGGGAAAACUGAACUGGAUGGAGUGAACCACCACUGCGUUUGUUGGUUUGUUGACAGCACAGGCGUAAAUACAACUCUUCUUCUGCGGUUGUUUCAGCGAAAUAAGGCAACUCUACGCAUGUCCAAAUGCUUCUAAUCUGAAUAAAUCUUGGUGCAUGUAUACGCUAGUCAUGAUUGGAUUAUUUGAUUUUGCACCCAUAUAAAUAGUGGAUUCAGAUUAUCCGAUCCCUAAAAUUUUUAAUCAGAUCAAAAAAUUUUGCACAUGUAAACGUGGCUAAUGUUGGACCACUGCAAAAUUUCAUAAAUGUGGUAAAUAAGAAUAUUUAAUUCCUUGUUAGAAUCCGAGACUUGUUUUCCUCCUCAGACAGCCACACCACAACAAAUCCAUCUCCUCUGAAUCCUCCAGAGUGUUGUAUUUCUCUCACAACUCCUGCGGUCCUCAUCUUAGUCAGUCUGUGAGACUGUAAGGGUUGAGGUCAGAAUUUAACGAGAAACUGAAAAAGAAAAAGACGUUUACACAGCUGGCACAGACACUAGAAGUUUUAGAUGAAUAAAUAAUGCCUGGGAUUAACUUCCUUGCUAUUUUUAGCCUCUUCAUACCCUGUGAUUAUUCCCUGUCCUUUUCCCCACUUUUUUUCACUGUUAUCCUAAAGCUUAACAUGCUCCAGCUGCCAUGGAAACAGCACCAUUGUUAUGAAGAUGGCUAUACAGUGGAGGAGGGGAGCCAAGGAGUAAGAAGCAGACUGUCUCUGUAGUGCUCUAUAUUUUUUUUCUGCUCAGAGACAUGUCUUGAUGAAAUUACGUCAUAUUAGUUGUUGGAAAUAAGUCUGUUAAACCUGCAUGCAGAAUACUACCAAUGUAGAGAUGAUGUACUGACAAGGACAUUAUGUGGGUGGGUAUAAAUGAGACAAUAUCCUAACUUCAGACUGAACUACAAGGAGAUUAAUGAGAAAUGCAACUCUUAUGGUGAGACAUCAAAGCAGGAUGAAAUAUAUGCAGCGCUUUAAUAUCAAGUCUAUGCAAAACAUGAUUUUUCUGCUAUUUUUUAUAUGAACAGGUGCACAUGAGGUCAAAUAUAUAAUAUGCACAAAGGCAGGAAGGUGACACAUGACUUGGAUGUAAGAGGUUGGUUUUAGAAGUGUUUUUCUUUUUUUUUUCCUGAGCAGUAGCAGAGAGAGAGAAAGGGGAAAAGCAGAGACAUGAGACUGAUCAAAUGAGACAGCGUGAUCACAGCCUCCCUUCAGAUCCCACAAACAUCCCGGGCACAUC
rnacentral:lncRNA from 1 species